rnacentral:misc_RNA from 1 species
AAAAGGACGCCUGAUCGAAAGGACUAAACAGUUGCGUUUGCAUCGUGCUUUGGAUUUGUGAAGUCAUAGGAAUUCGAAAGAAGUGCGAGAAUUUUAUCAUUCAUAAUUUAAUAGUUUACUUUCCGUAAAACAUGUCUCGGGUUGUUCGUGGACCAGCUGGAAAUAAUGAAUGUAGGAUAUAUGUAGGUAAUUUACCUCCAGAUAUCCGUGAAAAGGACAUUGAAGAUAUUUUCUACAAAUUCGGAGACAUCGCAGAUAUUGAUCUGAAGAACAAAAGGGGCCCACCAUUUGCAUUUGUCGAAUUUCUUGAUAAGCGGGAUGCUGAAGAUGCGGUGAAUGCUAGAAAUCGAUACGACUAUGAUGGCUAUCGACUCCGUGUAGAAUAUCCAAGAGCAAGUAGGGGAGGUGGUGGAGGCGGUGGUGGAAGUUUUGGAGGACGGGGUGGUGGUGGUUUUGAUGGUGGAAUGAGGGGAGGUGACGGAGGUAGAGAUGGUGGAAGAGGAAGAGGUCCCCCUGCAAGACGGUCAAAGUUCAGGGUUUUGGUUUCUGGUCUUCCAUCAAGCGGUAGCUGGCAAGACCUAAAGGAUCAUAUGCGUGAAGCUGGUGAUGUUUGUUUCGCAGACGUGUUUCGUGAUGGAACUGGUGUUGUGGAGUUUGUACGAGAAGAGGACAUGAAGUAUGCCGCCAGAGAAUUGAACGAUACAAGGUUUCGAUCUCAUGAGGGUGAAACAUCGUACAUUAAAGUAAAAGCUGAUGCACCACUUUCUAGAGGGCGCUACAGCAGGAGUAGGUCGCGAAGCUUUUCUCCUAAACGGCAACGUUCGUCCCCUCAAUAUGCUCCUCACCGAUCAAGAUCAAGCUCGCAUUCAUCAUCGAGUUCCCGGCGUUAAUCUGCAGCUGUUUGUGUAUUGCCUCUACACACAAGUCUCAGCUUUCCAACAGAUGCAACGAAUGAAGCCAUUAAGCACUACAUCAAUGGUAAGCAUACACAAAGGACCAAAAGGACCUGCAAAGGAUUUCAUUUGAUAUAUAGAAAGGGAUUAACAGAGAUUAAGGAAAUCAUUAUUGUUAACCACCUCGGGAAUCAUUUGCAAAGGAAUCAAAUGGCACAAACCCCAUAUUUAAGGAUCCUCCUGUUGAAGGGAAAGAUGAGACCCAUUUGGAUCAGGAUUAACCAAAUUAUCCACUAGGAUUACAAGGAAAUUCAGGAACAAGGAAAUCUCAAUACAUUCAGGAUUUGGAUUAAGGAUCAUCUUACCCCUUGUAGGAAUGUUGAGGAUGCCAUAAAACACAUGAAAGAGGAUCAGUUGGGAUUUGUGUAAAGGAAACCUCAAAUCAUGGGAGGAUUAAAAAGAUAAUCCAAAUAAGUGUGGAUCAUUUGGAUACAGGGUGCCUGAAAUGUGGAAUCCACACUGCUUUAAAAAAAAAGGCCCCGUUUUAAAUUAAACAAUCAGGAUGUUUAAAGAAUAUCAAUUUUAAUUUGGAAAAUAUUUCCUUAGUCCUCUAUGGAUUACAAUUGAUGCAAUUCACACAAUUUGCUUUCAGAUUUAAUGAGGAUCAAUAAAUUUGGAAACAACCCAAUUCAAUUGAUUUCUAGUGCCCAUAACAAAAUUAAGAUCGCAUUCUUUUAAAAUAUCUCAAUAUUUCAGGGAAGUGGGUAAAAAUGAAAAAUUAUUCUGGUUAAGUAUAGUGUUAUAUUUCCCAAAAAAACCUUUUUACAGGAUGCUCCUGAAAAUUUUAAGAGGAAAGCGAGGGACAGCUUUGAAAGGCAGGAUACUUUCAAAUCCAGGAAAGGGAUACUUUCAAAAAAGCAUUUCAGAAAGGAAAUCUCAAAUUGCUCUAGGAUCAACCUCACAGGAGGGCUUCAUUUCCAUCAUUCAGGAUUUGCAUUCAGGAAUACAUCUCCUGUGGGAAUUCACAUUAGGAUAAAUGGAAAUGCUGCAAUUGAGAAUAAGUAUCAUUUUGAACUGUAUGGUUCUUGCACACACAGAUUUAAUCACAUGACAUGUUAGUCUUCUGUCUGUUCCAGACUACCAUUUUUUAAAGUGUUGAGUGUUCUCUGUUUCGUUUGUUCAAACCAAAAUAAAAUUUUAUUUUGCGCAACCAUAUAUCAAGGGGGAAGAAACACUAAACAAUAAAAACUAGAUUUGUUUAUUCAAUAAACAAAUACUGUAAAUGUAUUUUUACAUUUGUCAUCAGCAUUUUAUUUUUUUUUUUGUUUCUAACCGUAUUUCUUUAUAAUUGAGCACUCUAUUGCAUCGCUCAAUUGCAUGUCCAAAUUUGCAUGAUUUAUUGAGCAACAUCAUUUCUUGUAUCACAAUGUAUGUUGAUUUUUUUCUUCACAGCUUAGGCAGUGCAUUGCAGUCACAUGCUCAAUGUACUGUAAAUUAAUAUAUUAAAUAACAUGAAUGUAGAUGUUUCCACUACAGAAAUGUUUUCUGAUUUAAAUUGUUUAACCAUGAGUUUCUUCCAGGUCUUGUACAGUAGACGGUUUUCAACUUGUUUCUGUGGAUUGUUGCAAGGAUAUGACACUCAACAUACAAGACUAAUAAAACGAAUACGUAUAUAAAUUUUAAUAAAAGUGCACAUUGAAUUAAAGGUAUUUUUACACAUGUUA